rnacentral:rRNA from 1 species
AGUCGUAACAAGGUUUCCGUAGGUGAACCUGCGGAAGGAUCAUUAAAGAGUAAGGGUGCUCAGCGCCCGACCUCCAACCCUUUGUUGUUAAAACUACCUUGUUGCUUUGGCGGGACCGCUCGGUCUCGAGCCGCUGGGGAUUCGUCCCAGGCGAGCGCCCGCCAGAGUUAAACCAAACUCUUGUUAUUUAACCGGUCGUCUGAGUUAAAAUUUUGAAUAAAUCAAAACUUUCAACAACGGAUCUCUUGGUUCUCGCAUCGAUGAAGAACGCAGCGAAAUGCGAUAAGUAAUGUGAAUUGCAGAAUUCAGUGAAUCAUCGAAUCUUUGAACGCACAUUGCGCCCCUUGGUAUUCCGAGGGGCAUGCCUGUUCGAGCGUCAUUACACCACUCAAGCUAUGCUUGGUAUUGGGUGCCGUCCUUAGUUGGGCGCGCCUUAAAGACCUCGGCGAGGCCUCACCGGCUUUAGGCGUAGUAGAAUUUAUUCGAACGUCUGUCAAAGGAGAGGACUUCUGCCGACUGAAACCUUUAUUUUUCUAGGUUGACCUCGGAUCAGGUAGGGAUACCCGCUGAACUUAAGCAUAUCUAAAAGUCG